GAAAAAUAUUGUAGUACAACACAAAUAUAAAUAAUAUGUGUAAACUAUUUUUUUAAUACUGAUAAGACAGAAUGAUAUUGUUUUGCUUCUAUAGAUCUACAACUUAUAUCUUGCUUACAACUGUUGAAACUGAAUUCUCAAUUUGACUUUUAUUGCCAUACAAGUAGCAUACUUCUAGCUCAUGAUCGGAUAUUUUGCAUUUAACACGUUUACAUUCCGAUUUUGUGGCACGAGUAUUUUUAAAUAGACCAAUCAUCCGUAAUACAUAGUUGCCUAUUUCUAUGAAGUAUGCGAAAUCGAAAGAACGCCAUUUGACUUGAUUUUCAAUAUCCUGUCCAGCAGAACAUGAAUCGUGAAUAUACAAA
rnacentral:lncRNA from 1 species